rnacentral:snRNA from 1 species
AUCGCUUCUCAGCCUUUUGCUGAAAUCAAAUGUAGUAUCUGUUCUUAUCAGUUUAGUGUCUGAUAUGUCCUCUACCUGAGGACAAUAUAUUGAAUGGGUUUUCGGAGCAGGGAAAAAAAUGUUCUUUGAAUUGAUAAAUGAGCACAUGAGACAACAUUGAGAAAAUGUGGUAAGAAUUUUUCUCCCUCUGUCCCUUAGCCUCAAACUUUA